rnacentral:rRNA from 1 species
AUUCCAGCUCCAAUAGCGUAUAUUAAAGUUGUUGCAGUUAAAAAGCUCGUAGUUGAACUUUGGGCCUGGCAGGCCGGUCCGCUUUUUGGCGAGUACUGACCCUGCCGGGCCUUUCCUUCUGGCUAACCUCCCCUCUGGAGAGGCGAACCAGGACUUUUACUUUGAAAAAAUUAGAGUGUUCAAAGCAGGCCUUUGCUCGAAUAUAUUAGCAUGGAAUAAUAGAAUGGGACGUUUGGUUCUAUUUUGUUGGUUUCUAGGACCAUCGUAAUGAUUAAUAGGGACGGUCGGGGGCAUCAGUAUUCAGUUGUCAGAGGUGAAAUUCUUGGAUUUACUGAAGACUAACUACUGCGAAAGCAUUUGCCAAGGACGUUUUCAUCA